GUGGACGGAAGCGGGAUGGUGUACGUUACCGAAGACGGAGAACGAGUUACGCUCGUCUUUGCCUCUGAGCCGGACGCAGACCCAACUGUCCUGCAGCCUGCGCGUCCACCCACAACGGACGUCGACGGGCAGCUGCUGUGGAGUGCCGCGAAGACGAAGUUCUUUAUCGGCUGUUAUAAGGAACUAAAAGAGCGUCUGAGAGCAAAGGGGGGUUUCAGGUAUGUCUUUGUCAGGAUAUAUUUUAUAAUACAUGCUAAUACGUAGUAAACAUCAUGUUUAGGACCAAACGAGCCCUUUGGCAGCAGCUGGCCGACACCGUCGUCGGAGAGUUCGGCGGCGUUGUCACCGCUGACCAGGCCGAAAACAAAUGGAAGUCCUUGGAGAGAGCGUACAAGAACGGCAAAUCAAAAAACAAGAAGUCGGGCCACUCUAGGGUGCAUUUUGAAUACGAGGACGAGCUUCAUGACAUCCUCGAGAAAGAGCACCAUAUUUCACCAACUGUGUUGUUGGCGCCGGGAAGAGUGCUUGAAAAG